rnacentral:lncRNA from 9 species
GAGGUGUAUGAGUUUUCUUUAUGUGUGCUUUGGAGAGGAACCUCACGGGCAGGGGUACCCGUCUCCUCAGUGUUUCUGUAGAGCUGCUGUCCACAGCGUGGCAGCCGCUGUCCAGAGGGAGCCAUUUAUGCUUCAUUGAAUUCAGCCAGUAGUUAGGUCUGCCUCUGGCAGUGAACAGAAGAAAGCAGCCAAGGGUUCACUCCCCCGAGCCAGCACGCAAGGGUGUCCGUGCAGCUGGACUUUCAGGUGUGUCACGCUGGGGCUGAGGCCUCCGGAGGACUCCUAGAAGGGAGGCGUGCGUGUAAAGCGCCAUCCCUCAGCAGCCCACGACCUCGGACGGUUUGCCACUGUGGCCAGUGUUUUAUUGAUGCUUCUGAGGCCAUAGAGCACGCACGGGGAAGUUCUGAGCACACGGAGGACAAGCCAGGGCGGUGCUGUGUGGCCGCAGUCAACCCUAAGUAGGGUCCGAGUGGGGGACGGUCGCUAACACCUCGAUUCCUCAUGUCUGUGUUUCUGCAGCUUGGAGCUUGGAGAGUGUGUGUGAGAGCGACCUCGCUGACAGCAACCUCGCAGAAAGUGAUCGAGACUCGGUGGCGGAGCGCACCGACUGCCGCCAGGAUGAGGAGGCUGCAGGUAGGGAAGAGCACGCAGCUGGGAUCCAGGGGGAGAGGGUUCCUGGGAGCAGCUGGGUUCCACCUGCUGCCGGGAGAGGGCGGAAGGGGGCUAGGACUUGGGUGGGUGGCCUACUGAGCGGAACUCCGCUGUGGUGUUUUCCCCUCUGAAGUUGCUAAGCCGAAGACGACUUGGGUCCCUGGUCUUUGUUGUGCUGUGUUUGGAUUCGUGUCUCCUUCCUUUGAGAGGGAGAAUGGCUUUUCCCUCCCGAAGCGGCUCCUUCCAGCUCUUGUCUCUGGCCAUGGUGCCAGCUUGCUUUGUGGGUCGCACCCUGAGGGUCCUGUGCACAAGAGCUGUUGACUUAGUUUCCUUUGUUGCCCUUGAGGGCCCUGGUGUGGUGGGACGCAACCCUCUCCUAGGCCCUUGACCCUGGAGACCAAGUUGCCUGGUGAGUGUCAGGUGGCGGUGAGAAGGCAGGUCUCUCCCUCUGCACGUUUGGAUUUCUGGCCU